rnacentral:lncRNA from 1 species
AUUUAUUUUAUACAUUGAAUCCAAACAUAAAAAAUAUGGCUGAUUUACUAUGCGGAUAUAUAUAGAUUUUUAAAUUAAAGUGCACAUAUGCAGGUCAGUUUUUGGUCGAUGCAGUCAAAUAAUUUUGGUGUAUAAUAUUAAUUAAGUCAGCAUGAGGUAUAAAAACUACUGAAAUUUUGUUACGUAUCAAUAUUUUGAAUAAAAGGAGCACAUGCAGCUGGCACCCUAAAUUUAUGCGAACAAAAAUUUGUUGUUAUUGUAUUUCAAUAUUGCUGUCCAUUGUAUUGUACAUUGAAUCCUAACACAAAAAUAUGGCUGAUUUACUAUGCGGGUAUAUAGAUUUAAAAUAAAAAGUGCACACAUGGUCAGUUUUGGUCAAUGCGGUCAAAUAAUUUGUUGUACAAGUCAGCAUGAGGUAUCAAAACUACUGAAAUUUUGUUACGUAUCAAUAUUUUGAAUAAAAGGAGGACAU